rnacentral:rRNA from 1 species
UACGUAGGGGGCAAGCGUUGUCCGGAUUUAUUGGGCGUAAAGAGCGUGUAGGCGGCCAGGUAGGUCAGCUGUGAAAACUCGAGGCUCAACCUCGAGAUGGCGGCUGAAACCAUCUGGCUAGAGUCCGGAAGAGGAGAAUGGAAUUCCCGGUGUAGCGGUGAAAUGCGCAGAUAUCGGGAAGAACAACAGUGGCGAAGGCGGUUCUCUGGGACGGUACUGACGCUGAGACGCGAAAGCGUGGGGAGCGAACAGG